rnacentral:rRNA from 1 species
AGAGAGAGACAUGCGCGCAUAUCAAUAAGCGGAGGAAAAGAAACUAACAAGGAUUCCCCUAGUAACGGCGAGUGAAGCGGGAAGAGCUCAAAUUUGAAAUCUUAAAGGGUUUCCCUUUACGAAUUGUAGUUUAAAGAAGUGUUUUCUGUUGAGGUUUUGGUAAAAGUUCUUUGGAAUAGGACAUCAUAGAGGGUGAGAAUCCCGUAUUUGACCUUUACUUUCAACUUUGUGAUACACUUUCAAGAGUCGGAUUGUUUGGGAAUGCAGUCCAAAAUGGGUGGUAAAUUUCAUCUAAAGCUAAAUAUUGGCGAGAGACCGAUAGCGAACAAGUACCGUGAGGGAAAGAUGAAAAGAACUUUGGAAAGAGAGUUAAACAGUACGUGAAAUUGUCAAAAGGGAAGCGUUUGACACCAGUGUUGUUUUUCUGAAAAUCAAUUAAAGAACUGUUUAUGCUAAGUUGUUUAGACUUUAUCAGCUAACUGUUUAGUUUUGAGCUUUUCUUUAAUGCACCUUUCAGUUAACAAGUCAACAUCAAUUUCUUUUGCUGUAAAAAAGCUUGAGGAAGGUGGCUUGAGAUUCGUCUUAAGUGUUUAUAGCCUCUUGCCUAUGCAGUCGGAGAGAUUGAGGUCUGCAGCGUAGAUCCUUCGGGGCUAAAUGCAUUUGUGCUAAGUUAUAGCAUUUUAUAGACAACUUGUUGACUAUGAUUUGUCUUGUAGCUUACUCGCUUAUGUUAUUUUACCUACGCUUAGGAUGUUGACGCAUGAGAUAUACGC